rnacentral:rRNA from 1 species
UACGUAGGGUGCGAGCGUUACUCGGAAUUACUGGGCGUAAAGCGUGCGCAGGCGGUUUUCCAAGACAGAUGUGAAAUCCCCGGGCUCAACCUGGGAAUGGCAUUUGUGACUGGAAGGCUAGAGUGUGUCAGAGGGGGGUAGAAUUCCACGUGUAGCAGUGAAAUGCGUAGAGAUGUGGAGGAAUACCGAUGGCGAAGGCAGCCCCCUGGGAUAACACUGACGCUCAUGCACGAAAGCGUGGGGAGCAAACAGG